GACGGGUGAGUAACGCGUGGGUAACCUGCCUCACACAGGGGGAUAGCAGUUGGAAACGACUGGUAAUACCGCAUAAGCGCACAGCUUCGCAUGAAGCGGUGUGAAAAACUCCGGUGGUGUGAGAUGGACCCGCGUCUGAUUAGGUAGUUGGUGAGGUAACGGCCCACCAAGCCGACGAUCAGUAGCCGACCUGAGAGGGUGACCGGCCACAUUGGGACUGAGACACGGCCCAGACUCCUACGGGAGGCAGCAGUGGGGAAUAUUGCACAAUGGAGGAAACUUUGAUGCAGCGACGCCGCGUGAGUGAAGAAGUAUUUCGGUAUGUAAAGCUCUAUCAGCAGGGAAGACAGUGACGGUACCUGACUAAGAAGCUCCGGCUAAAUACGUGCCAGCAGCCGCGGUAAUACGUAUGGAGCAAGCGUUAUCCGGAUUUACUGGGUGUAAAGGGAGUGUAGGUGGUAUCACAAGUCAGAAGUGAAAGCCCGGGGCUCAACCCCGGGACUGCUUUUGAAACUGUGGAACUGGAGUGCAGGAGAGGUAAGUGGAAUUCCUAGUGUAGCGGUGAAAUGCGUAGAUAUUAGGAGGAACACCAGUGGCGAAGGCGGCUUACUGGACUGUAACUGACACUGAGGCUCGAAAGCGUGGGGAGCAAACAGGAUUA
rnacentral:rRNA from 1 species